rnacentral:lncRNA from 1 species
CUUGUCCCUCAUUGCUGUAGAACAUCGUAUCAUAAUUCUUCUGGAGAAAAGAUGAAGAUAACUGUCAGAAGAUGUGGGUUCCUGUGCCAGAUCUCACAUUAACUUCAGGGUUUUAGUUGAGUUUUUUUCUUUGCCCUGGCCUCAUCUGUGAAACAGAUUAUCUAACCCUGACACACACAUCUAGAAAUGCUGUGAGGCAUAAAGAGUUUCUACUUGGGAAAUCCUUCUGUGUUUAUAAGAGAGAAUGAAAGUAAAAUGAAAUCACCAUCAGCAAAAAGUAACACACAAUGGGAGACUUAGAUAAAAGGCAGCCCAGUCCAAGACAGACUGUACCAACUUUUCUUCAAAGUAAAAAUUCAUCUGUACAUGUGAAUAUGCCCCCAAACUACUUAUGUCAAAGCAAGAUCGGGACCCAAAACUUGGAAUUUCUUUAUUAUUUAUUGCAUCAGUUUGAAAAGGAGGCACAAAACAUAUUACAUUAUGUUGAGUGAAGGAAACGGAUUCCAUCCAUGUACUCUGACAUUGUUAUUUCAUAUCACUGUCUCUGCAUUGGGUGCCUGCCAUGUUCAAGGCACCGUGAUCUUCUUUUCUUGUAUGAACUCAUUUAUGCCUUACAAUAACCCCGUCUAAAUGGUAUUAGCAUUCCUAUUCUUCUAAGGAGGAAGUUGAGGUUCAUGUCUAUAAAAAAAUUCCCCAAAGUCACCCUUAGCUACUAAAUCCUGAGCCAGGAGUUACCUAAGGGAUUUUCUGCUUGCACAUUCUAUGCUCUUUUCCCGAUGAUGAUCUUUCUGAAGGAUGAAUGCAUCAAAGUGGUAAUGAGAUGAGACCUCUCAGUCCAAAGAGAUAUGAGACCUUCAUCAUCAGCAUCUUCAAGAGGUGGUGUUGUGUAGGAGCUCAUGCAUGUGUGCAUGGCUCAGUGUGGCCAGAGGGAGAAUAUUAGCUUAUAGUUUCUGGUAAGCACUUUCAUUUUUAUAACGUACUUCAUUAUCAGGAAGUUUCUUUAGGAUUAGCUGCGGGAAGUUUUUCAGAGAGGUACUACAAUAUAGUGUUUAGUUGCAUAAAUACUAAAGCUGGACCACCUGUGCUGAAAUCUCAGACUCUGACAUUUAGUAACUGUAUGGCUUGACAAUUUACUUAUAUCUCCACUCUUCUAUUGCUACAUCACCAAAACAAAGAUAAUAAUACUAUCUACCUCCCUGGAUUUCCGUGAGGGUAAAAUGAAUAAAUAUUCAUAGAGUGCUUAUUAGAAUGCUAUAAAAACGUUAGGCCCUCUUAUCAAAUGUGUUUUCUCUACUGGCACAUGUAUAUGAUUUUCUCCCUUUCAUGUGUUUAUUUAGUGAUUUUGCUUGCAUGAUUUCUAAAUGCUUUUUCAUGCAUUGAUUUGAGAGAUUUUUAUCAUGCACUAAUAUGAUACAGAUAUUGAUUCUGAUGCUAGAAUAAAAUAGUAAACAAAAGUGGCAAAAUAUUUUGUGCUUUUGGAG